rnacentral:rRNA from 1 species
GACGAACGCUGGCGGCGUGCUUAACACAUGCAAGUCGAACGGAAAGGCCCUGCUUUUGGGGGGUGCUCGAGUGGCGAACGGGUGAGUAACACGUGAGUAACCUGCCCUUGACUUUGGGAUAACUUCAGGAAACUGGGGCUAAUACCGGAUAGGAGCUCCUGCUGCAUGGUGGGGGUGGGAAAGUUUCGGCGGUUGGGGAUGGACUCGCGGCUUAUCAGCUUGUUGGUGGGGUAGUGGCUUACCAAGGCUUUGACGGGUAGCCGGCCUGAGAGGGUGACCGGCCACAUUGGGACUGAGAUAAGGCCCAGACUCCUACGGGAGGCAGCAGUGGGGAAUAUUGCACAAUGGGCGGAAGCCUGAUGCAGCAACGCCGCGUGCGGGAUGACGGCCUUCGGGUUGUAAACCGCUUUCGCCUGUGACGAAGCGUGAGUGACGGUAAUGGGUAAAGAAGCACCGGCUAACUACGUG